GCCGGAGUGGUGGAACUGGUAGACGCAGCGGACUCAAAAUCCGCCGAGAGAAAUCUCAUGGGGGUUCGAUUCCCCCCUCCGGCA
rnacentral:tRNA from 1 species